rnacentral:lncRNA from 1 species
UCUCCUUGUGGGGCGAUUUUGGGUCUCACACCCUCUCCCUCUCAGAGCGAUUGACACAAGUAUUUGUGGAGUUUGUAAAAUCAUUCAUUGUUUUUCUUUCAUGAAAGAUACAAGGAUUUAUAUAGGACUCUAAGGGUCCUGUUUGUUUAGGAAUCUCUUAUCUUUACAAGGAAGAAAUCAACCCUCCACAAAAAAGUAAAGCAUUAUAAUCUACCAUAGGAAAGAAAUCAGCCUUCAACAAAAUAAGUAAGUAGCCAAGAACUCUUAAAGAAUUCUAAGAAAGAAAUGAAACUCCAUGUGGGUGCUUGAUGCUUGACAUAACUUGGCAUGAGCACGGCACAUGCUGGCAUGCAUAUUUCUUCUCUUGGCAUGUGGAGAGUGGUGGCUCCAAAGGUGACGUGGACAAAUCCAAGUAUGGCCCUAUGGACCCAAAGCCAAAUGCAUUAAAAUUUAUUGACUGAAAAUAAAUAACUGAAGUAGAAUCAAUUUAAUGAGGCUUCUUCAAUCCAAAUCGAACUUAAAUCAUGUUGUCGAUUUUUGAUGGCUCUGGUGUCCGCACCA